rnacentral:rRNA from 1 species
UACGUAGGGUGCGAGCGUUGUCCGGAUUUAUUGGGCGUAAAGAGCUCGUAGGCGGUUUGUCGCGUCGGCCGUGAAAUCUCCACGCUUAACGUGGAGCGUGCGGUCGAUACGGGCAGACUUGAGUUCGGUAGGGGAGACUGGAAUUCCUGGUGUAGCGGUGAAAUGCGCAGAUAUCAGGAGGAACACCGGUGGCGAAGGCGGGUCUCUGGGCCGAUACUGACGCUGAGGCGCGAAAGCUAGGGGAGCAAACGGG